GGGGUUGUGGCUCAGCGGUAGAGCGCUCGCCUAGCAUGCUUGAGUCACUGAGUUCAAUUUUCAGCACUACA
rnacentral:tRNA from 1 species